rnacentral:rRNA from 1 species
CAGUAGCCGCGGUAAUACGUAGGGUGCGAGCGUUAAUCGGAAUUACUGGGCGUAAAGGGCUCGCAGGCGGUUUCUUAAGUCUGAUGUGAGAGCCCCCGGCUCAACCGGGGAGGGUCAUUGGAAACUGGGAAACUUGAGUACAGGAGAGGAAAGCGGAAUUCCCAGUGUAGCGGUGAAAUGCGUAGAUAUUGGGAGGAACACCAGUGGCGAAGGCGGCUUUCUGGACUGCAACUGACGCUGAGGCUCGAAAGCCAGGGGAGCGAACGGGAUUAGAUACCCGGGUAGUCCCUGUCUCUUAUAC